rnacentral:tRNA from 1 species
GUCCCGUAGUGGAGCGGUUUAACACGCCUGCCUGUCACGCAGGAGAUCGCGGGUUCGAUUCCCGUCGGGACCGCCA